GCACGGUGGAAGUUCAUGCCCUGGCGGAGGAAGCUACAAGACCUUGACAGAACCCUAACUACCAGGAUCAAUCUUCAAGUCUCUCAAGAGAAGCUGUCUCCAACCUUGGACCGUGUAUAGGCUAACAGUGCCCUGGCGUCACAAAGUGAUAAGAAGUGUGUUGCGGUGCUCAUACUUUGUGCUGGGAUCUUUGCCACCCUGUGCAAUGCAGCCUGCUCAAUAUCAGGUCCUCCAAAGCUAAAGGAGGGUGAAGAACUCAAGGGUUGUCUCCAUAAGGGAAAGUUAUAUGAACAUGGUACUACAUGGAGGGGGGAAGAUUGUUUGGACUGUUCCUGUGACUCAAAUGGAAUCAAGAGGUGUUGUACGAAUUUUGAGAGGCCCGUGAACUAUGACCCAGAAAGAUGUGUCUUCAUUUUUAAUAAGGAAACCUGUAAAUAUGAGCUAAUUCCUAAUGAAGAUCCUGAAAAACAAUGCUUGUCUUAUUCAAGUGUUGGCUGAAUACCAAGCUUAGAAGAUUAUCAAGAUCAAGAAAUUUUUUAUCAAACUUAUAAAAAUAUGUCUUAAAUGUGUUAAAAAGAUCUCUCUGCCAAAAGAAUAAACUCUGAUUU